AUUGGUUAGGUCACGGUUGAGUCGGAUUAAGCAUCAUAAGACACGACUGGUUAAAUGUUAGGGCGAAAGUUCGGUUCAGAGUAAGGUCUGAGAGUCAAAGUUGUUGUCUGAGUCUACAGUUUGACUACAGCAGAAUUCUAACUCCCAGAUUCCUCCUGGGCUGAGAAACAUCAACAAAGACCCCAAGAGACACCAAAGAAAGGGGCUCAGCCAGCAGCACUGGAGUUCAAGAGGAGUGCACCAUCCAGCAGGCAGCAUGCACCAGCAUAGAAAGGCCUGUUGAGCUAGUGUCUGACAAAAACGAUUCAAACUGCAAUUAAAAAGGAGAUCCAUAGUUUCUUGCAGCCUGUUUUGCCUUCAUGCCUUUGACGCUGGAGUGUGUCCACCCAAAUGGUCUGGCUGCCACUUCAUAACAGCUCUAUUGUGAGGCGUUCCACAUCCAAACUGCAGUGUGGAGAAUGUUAAGUGUAGAGAGCUGAUGGUGAACUAGGAGGAAGAUGUCAUGCUUAGGAUGGGUUUUGGUGAUGAUGUUGCUGCUGUUGAUGCAGCAUCGAGCUCUCACUUUGUGCCUCUGUCAGCUAUGAUGCGUAACCACAGAGUGAGUGACAGGCCAGUCCUCAGGGAGAGCAGGGGGCCUGAGGUAAGUCAGAUGUAUCCUUGACCCUGUCUGGCUGUGUGUCAGCAAGCAACUCAAACUGGGUAAAAAGGGCCACAACUGGCAUGACUGUACAUUGUACAUCUUAAUUUUGCAUGUAGAAGAAGAAUGUUAGAGACACUUUCAGAAACACCAAGAGAAACAAGCUUCUUGACUGCUCAAGAGGUUUUCAUUGCCUAGACCUUCCCUCAACUUAUGAAAUCAUAAUGCAGCAUAGUAUUAUAUCACGACUGAUACCUUUUAUCCCUUUGCAUGUUUUUGUAUGUCCACCACAGGUACUGAUUGUUGUACUACUGUCUUUGUGAUAUUGUUAUGAAUGAACUCAGUACUGAUUUUGGUAGAUAUUCGACAUUUCACUGUUAAAUAUCUGUUGUAACUUCAUUGCGUUACAUAUCUGUGACACACUGUGCAAUUACAACUUGAUUUUAGAGCUUGUUCAUUAUGAAGGUUUAAUGUUCCUGCAUAUAUGUAUUUUAGCUUAGAUUUUUCUUGGAGCUCUUGGAGGUAAACGGCACAAGAAGGUAGGUCCCCAUAAAAUAUUUAGUGCCUAUUAGUCAGAAAUGUCAAGCAGAAAUUUGAGAAAGCUUUUAUUACAAGACUAACGAAUCAUUACUGUCACACCAUAAAGCAACUCCAACCAUAAAUGGUACAAUAAUUGAGGGUGAUUGAACUAUUCAGAUAACUUGUGUUUAGAAUAAAAGUUUGGAAAAAUGUUAAAUACACACCUGGGCAUAUCUUGUUGAAAUCAGAGCUUAUUUAAAUGUAUUCAGCCCAGAUAAUCGAGAAAUUUGUGAAGAAAUUCUGCAUUGUGCAUCACUGCGCUUGUUAUUGAUUUGCCAUAUUUCUUUUUAUAUGGGAAAGAACAAACUGAGAUGGUAUGAAUUUUACACACAAUAGUCCUUACAUUAUAAUUGUACUUGUGCAAAAACUGUAAGUUGAUUUGUUAAGUUAUGCAGAGAAAUAUAAUCAAUUAAGUAUUCUUAACUGUUCUGAUUAUCGAUAAAGUGAAGCUGCCAAACACUUGCUUCUCUUCACCGUUAUGUCAUUGUAAAAGAAAUCUCAUGCACUGGGAAACUGAAAUGAACAUUGUUAGUGUUUCCUGUAAUGUUUUUGACUAAUUAAUUAAUUGAUGAAGAAUGUAUAAAGAUUUAGUCAGUAAUGAAAGUAAGUUAAAAAUGUACAGAAUCUGUGUUUCAUAUGUUCAGUUAAAUAUGAAUCAUUUUGUUGCACCCAGUUUGGGUUUUAGUUUCUAAAGUGCUUGUUGUGAGCUCUUGCCUAAGAAUUUCUGUCAUUGUUAAAGCCGCAGUUAAUGUUGUAUCAUAUGCAGGCUGUAAAAAAAUCAUGACUGAACCCGAAGUGUAACUGAAACAACUGAUGCAACCUGUAACACAGUAUAACACAAGCUGAUUCUUUACAACUCUUGUUAACUCUUUGUGAACAAGUAUUUACUAUAGUGUUUUUGCAUGAUUGUGUCCAAAAAAAAGUGUAAUUUUUGAUGCGCAUCCUCGAUUUAGCUGAUGUAAGGAAGAAGCACUACCAAUCAAACCAGGUUAUGAUCAACUUUGGGAAAUUAAAUGCAAGAUUUCAUGUUUUAUUUCAGUCUUGUUAAGCAGCAGACUUCUACUCUGAUAUGGUAUCUACAUGGGAAGAGCCACAUCACUGUGUUUUCUCCUGAAUUUCAUUAAGUGAACAAAAAGAAUCUUUAGUGCAAAGUCUUGCAUCUUUUUUCGAGGGUCACUCAAACACAGUGUGUGAAAUGAGAGUUGCCUGGGUGUGACUUUUUCGGAAAGUAUCCGUUUGCUAUUGUCUGCCUAGUCAACUUCUGCAGGCCCCAGUGCCCUGACUUCCAUACAUGAGAGAUCAAGGGUUACCAAGGUGCUUUUGAGAAAGGACUCAGUGUGAGAGGGGACAAACCAGUCCACAAAAUACUCAUUUCCUUUGCAUGUUAGGUGCUCCACUGGGGAGUCAGAUAGGGUCACCGACACAGCUACUGGGAAUGAGUUUUUUUUCCAUCGUUGUUCUUAAUGAAAACUGUAUCUUGCCUUUCCAGUGGCUUGUGACUACUAACUGCAGCCUGUACAGUAUGGUGCUCGAUAAUAUGCUGAAUUUGCCCCAAAGAAAGUUUGUUCACACUGUGGCUGUUUAUUCGGUGCCGGACAGAGGUGCCUCGUGUAGAGAAGGUAAAAGUAGUUCAGUCCACCUCUCAUUCUUUCCAAAAAGUUCAGUCACUGAGCCACGGCAUUAACUUGUAUUCUAACAAGAUUAAAAUAUAUUCGUCCUGGGGAUUAGCAUAGUUAGGUGUCCUUUUGCCUCUUUUUUUUAUUUUUUUGUUCCUGCACUGGUGCGGUGACAGUGGGCUUUGAUCUGUGUUGCGAGGCAAGAGUCCUAGCUUGGACCUAGCCAUUCGAGUGCCAAGUGUGAAAUUGGCCUGAUGUCAUCCCCAUUCUUCACCUUUUACAUCUUUCACCACUUUAAUUAUGUUUCUGCCACAAAGCCCGGGCACCUCUGAGCAGAUUCCACUCUGGCUGGAGGAAGCAUUUAGAAACUGGGGGUAAAUGACACAGUAGGGGAGGGGGAGGAUGGUAGGAGAGGUCAAAGCAGGAUGGGGCCCUUUUGUAUUUAAAAGCAGACAUUGAUACUUUCUUGAUGAGUCCUGCACUUACUGAAUUUUUACAGCAUAACGUGUCAGCUAUACAGACCAUAACUUCAAUUGCAAGCAUUUUUACAGUAUCCACAAGAUGAUUAUUUCAGUGUUUUCUUCCCAGAUUGCUAAUUAUUUAUAUUAUUUUCUUGAUAGCAAUGGAAGUCUUUUCAGUUGUAGUUAAUUCCUAAAACAGUGACUAGUUGAGAUCACUAUACCAUCUGAAUAUCACUUCCAGACAUGAGAAAAAUAGUCAAAUAAAAGUGUUUGUUCUAGGACAAUGUCACAAAUGCAGCUGCACGUUUCAGUUUAAGCUGUUAUUCAUGCAUUGGUGUCCCUAUCUGAACUUCAGGGAGCUUCUCUGCCUGUGAAUAUGUUGAUGGUUACUACUGAAGCACUGACCGAAGGACCAAAACAGCAAAGAUAUUUGCGUGUGAGGAGGAACUGAAAUGAAUGAGAUGUGUUGGUGUGCGUGCGUGUGUGUGUACGCGUGCGUCUCAGGCAAGAAUAAAAUACAGCCAAGUGCUAAUAUGAGAGUGAGUUAGUCAGUGAGAAGGCAGUGUGUGGAGAAUGGGUUACUGCAGGGCGGGAGAGGGGAAACCAGCCACCUGCAGCCAUGACAGGCUUUGACCUUCAUUGCUCUCUCUCCCUUGCUCUAUCUCUCUCGCCCCCUCCCUCUCUCUCACUCUCUCCUUUUGACUCCCAUUUCUGCCUUGUGAUAGAAGCACAGGCUCUUUUCAGAUGCGGUGAGGAAGACUGACCAUCGUGAAGACAGAGCUGGGAGCAGCCCUGUCUGCUCUAAUGCUAGCCACUGGCCGCUAGCGUUCAAAGACUAGUGGUGCAAGUAUGGAAAUGCAGAUAAGGCAUUGUUGAGGAAACAUGCCUGGGAAUUGUUCAAGGCUUUCCCUUGCAUAAUGUUGGAUGCAUGUGCAAAUGUUUUAAUCUGGAAACGUGAAUUUGAUUCUCCGUGAAACUCAUCCUGAACCACCCAUGGAAUGAGUGGGUGUUUGUGAUGCUAUUCAUAUUAAGUGUUAGUGAACAUUUGACAUCUGGCAGCAUUUAUUUAAAACAAUUAUUGGAUGCAUUUCUCUUCCUGGUAAUUGUAGCUAGUGAGGUUUAUUUUUUUUUUCAUACUCAGAAGCACAGCAUACAUUGAAGGUCAAAUUUCACCACUUUAGCCAGACCUCAGUUAUUUUUUUUCUUCUGUUUUGGAGUAAUAUAUCAACCCUAUGCUUUGUAUAGACAUGGCAGAAACCUGUUUGUGUAUAAUCUUCAAGGUUUAUUUACUCUUCUUUUUCAGUUUUCAGGAGGCAGUUAAUUACACAAUUAAUACAUGAUACAAAUUAUGUACAUUUAUACCAAAGAAUACUUCCCAACAUAAAAUAAAAAUAGCAUUGUACUGU